rnacentral:rRNA from 1 species
UGCAGUCGAACGCUGAAGCUCCCAGCUUGCUGGGGGUGGAUGAGUGGCGAACGGGUGAGUAACACGUGAGUAACCUGCCCCGAACUCUGGGAUAAGCGCUGGAAACGGCGUCUAAUACUGGAUAUGUCCUAUCACCGCAUGGUGUGUAGGUGGAAAGAAUUUUGGUUCGGGAUGGACUCGCGGCCUAUCAGCUAGAUGGUGAGGUAAUGGCUCACCAUGGCGACGACGGGUAGCCGGCCUGAGAGGGUGACCGGCCACACUGGGACUGAGACACGGCCCAGACUCCUACGGGAGGCAGCAGUGGGGAAUAUUGCACAAUGGGCGCAAGCCUGAUGCAGCAACGCCGCGUGAGGGAUGACGGCCUUCGGGUUGUAAACCUCUUUUAGUAGGGAAGAAGCGAAAGUGACGGUACCUGCAGAAAAAGCACCGGCUAACUACGUGCCAGCAGCCGCGGUAAUACGUAGGGUGCAAGCGUUGUCCGGAAUUAUUGGGCGUAAAGAGCUCGUAGGCGGCUUGUCGCGUCUGCUGUGAAAACCAGAGGCUCAACCUCUGGCCUGCAGUGGGUACGGGCAAGCUAGAGUGCGGUAGGGGAGAUUGGAAUUCCUGGUGUAGCGGUGGAAUGCGCAGAUAUCAGGAGGAACACCGAUGGCGAAGGCAGAUCUCUGGGCCGUAACUGACGCUGAGGAGCGAAAGCAUGGGGAGCGAACAGGAUUAGAUACCCUGGUAGUCCAUGCCGUAAACGUUGGGAACUAGAUGUAGGGCCUGUUCCACGGGUUCUGUGUCGUAGCUAACGCAUUAAGUUCCCCGCCUGGGGAGUACGGCCGCAA